GGAGCAAUCCAUGAGUAAAGUGGCGUACGGGUGAGUAACACGUGGGUAUCCACUCUUUGGUGGGGAAUAACUCUGGGAAACCGGAGCUAAUACCGCAUAAGUCCGAGAGGAGAAAGGUGAAAAUCGCCGAAGAAGGAGCCCGCGGCUGAUUAGCUAGUUGGUGAGGUAACGGCCCACCAAGGCGAAGAUCGGUAGCCGGCCUGAGAGGGCACACGGCCACACUGGCACUGAGACACGGGCCAGACUCCUACGGGAGGCAGCAGUGGGGAAUCUUGCACAAUGGGGGCAACCCUGAUGCAGCGACGCCGCGUGAACGAUGAAGCCCUUCGGGGUGUAAAGUUCUUUCGGCAGGAACGAUAAUGACGGUACCUGAAGAAGAAGCUGCGGCUAACUACGUGCCAGCAGCCGCGGUAAUACGUAGGCAGCAAACGUUGUUCGGAGUUACUGGGCGUAAAGAGUACGUAGGCGGUUUGCCAAGUUUGGUGUGAAAUCUCCUGGCUUAACUGGGAGGGUGCGCCGAAUACUGGCGGGCUCGAGUGUUGGAGAGGGGAGCGGAAUUCCUGGUGUAGCGGUGAAAUGCGUAGAUAUCAGGAGGAACACCGGUGGUGUAGACGGCUCCCUGGACAACCACUGACGCUGAGGUACGAAAGCGUGGGUAGCAAACAGGAUUAGAUACCCUGGUAGUCCACGCCCUAAACGAUGCAAACUUGGUGUAGGCAGUUCAGUCUGUCUGUGCCGGAGCUAACGCGUUAAGUUUGCCGCCUGGGGAGUAC
rnacentral:rRNA from 1 species